rnacentral:rRNA from 1 species
UACGUAGGUGGCAAGCGUUACUCGGAAUUACUAGGCGUAAAGCGCAUGUAGGUGGUUGGGUAAGUCUAUAGUGAAAUCCUUCGGCUUAACUGGAGGGGGUCUAUAGAUACUGCCUGGCUUGAGUGUGGGAAGGGAAGGCGGAAUUCCUGGUGUAGCGGUGAAAUGCGUAGAUAUCAGGAGGAACACCGAUGGCGAAGGCGGCCUUCUGGCCCAAUACUGACACUGAGAUGCAAAAGCUAGGGGAG